UGGGAACAUAUCUGUGGGUAUGUCACGGCACAUAGCGUGGAACAUUGCCAAGGCAUAUGGAGGUAGCUCACCUAUAGAGGUAGCCUCUGGAAUCCCUCUCAACCGCAGAUUGUUUCUGUGGAAGCGGUCCUCCAGGUCUGUAAGCGUGGCCUGACGUUUGUCCAGUCUGUCUUCUAUAUGUUGCAGCGCAUCUGCCCCAGAGUUGUACGCCAUCAC